CGGAACGGGUGAGUAAUGCGUGACCAACCUGCCCCAUGCUCCAGAAUAGCUCUUGGAAACGGGUGGUAAUGCUGGAUGCUCCAACUUGACGCAUGUCUUGUUGGGAAAGUGUUUAGUGGCAUGGGAUGGGGGUCGCGUCCUAUCAGCUUGUAGGCGGGGUAAUGGCCCACCUAGGCUUCGACGGGUAGCCGGCCUGAGAGGGCGGACGGCCACAUUGGGACUGAGAUACGGCCCAGACUCCUACGGGAGGCAGCAGCC
rnacentral:rRNA from 1 species